ACGCAAUAGAUACCCCGGUAGUCCCAGCCGUAAACGAUGGACACUAGGUGUUGGUGGUAUCAACCCCGCCAGUGCCGUAGCUAAACGCAUUAAGUGUCCCGCCUGGGGAGUACGGCCGCAAGGCUAAAACUCAAAGGAAUUGACGGGGGUCCCGGCACAAGCAGCGGAGCGUGGGGUUUUAAUUCGAUGCAACGCGAAGAACCUUACCAGGGCUUGACAUGACCAGGAAGUCGGCGGAAACGUCGGUGUCCCGCAAGGGACCUGGCCACAGGUGUUGCAUGGCUGUCGUCAGCUCGUGUCGUGAGAUGUUGGGUUUAAACGUCCCGCAACGAGCGCAACCCCGUACUGUGUGUUGUAUCACUCACACGGGUACUGCCGAGAGAAACCUCGGGAGGAACGGUUGGGGUAUGACGUCAAGUCAGCAUGGCCCUU
rnacentral:rRNA from 1 species